AGAGUUUGAUCCUGGCUCAGGAUGAACGCUGGCGGCGUGCCUAAUACAUGCAAGUCGAACGCACUGAUUUUAUCAGUGAGUGGCGAACGGGUGAGUAAUACAUAAGUAACCUGCCCUCAUGAGGGGGAUAACUAUUAGAAAUGAUAGCUAAGACCGCAUAGGUGAAGGGGUCGCAUGACCGCUUCAUUAAAUAUCCGUAUGGAUAGCAGGAGGAUGGACUUAUGGCGCAUUAGCUGGUUGGUGAGGUAACGGCUCACCAAGGCGACGAUGCGUAGCCGACCUGAGAGGGUGGACGGCCACACUGGGACUGAGACACGGCCCAGACUCCUACGGGAGGCAGCAGUAGGGAAUUUUCGGCAAUGGGGGAAACCCUGACCGAGCAACGCCGCGUGAAGGAAGAAGUAAUUCGUUAUGUAAACUUCUGUCAUAGAGGAAGAACGGUGGAUAUAGGGAAUGAUAUCCAAGUGACGGUACUCUAUAAGAAAGCCACGGCUAACUACGUGCCAGCAGCCGCGGUAAUACGUAGGUGGCGAGCGUUAUCCGGAAUUAUUGGGCGUAAAGAGGGAGCAGGCGGCACUAAGGGUCUGUGGUGAAAGAUCGAAGCUUAACUUCGGUAAGCCAUGGAAACCGUAGAGCUAGAGUGUGUGAGAGGAUCGUGGAAUUCCAUGUGUAGCGGUGAAAUGCGUAGAUAUAUGGAGGAACACCAGUGGCGAAGGCGACGAUCUGGCGCAUAACUGACGCUCAGUCCCGAAAGCGUGGGGAGCAAAUAGGAUUAGAUACCCUAGUAGUCCACGCCGUAAACGAUGAGUACUAAGUGUUGGGGGUCAAACCUCAGUGCUGCAGUUAACGCAAUAAGUACUCCGCCUGAGUAGUACGUUCGCAAGAAUGAAACUCAAAGGAAUUGACGGGGGCCCGCACAAGCGGUGGAGCAUGUGGUUUAA
rnacentral:rRNA from 1 species